rnacentral:rRNA from 1 species
UACGUAGGGGGCAAGCGUUGUCCGGAAUCAUUGGGCGUAAAGCGCGCGUAGGCGGCCCGGUAAGUCCGCUGUAAAAGUCCAGGUCUCAACCCUGGAAAGCCGGUGGAUACUGUCGGGCUAGAGUCCGGAAGAGGCGAGUGGAAUUCCUGGUGUAGCGGUGGAAUGCGCAGAUAUCAGGAGGAACACCGAUAGCGAAGGCAGCUCGCUGGGACGGUACUGACGCUGAGACGCGAAAGCGUGGGGAGCGAACAGG